rnacentral:lncRNA from 1 species
GCCACGAGUGGGGGGUUGGUAGCCACGAGUGGGGGGUUGGUAGCCACGGGUUGUGGAGGGGGAGGAGGAGGAGGAGGAAGGAAGGGGGGUGUUGGGGGUCUCUCUUUGCCUCGUCCCACUGGACACCGAGAUGGAGGUGAUGGGGGAGGAGUAGGAUGCUUCCUGGUUGUUAAUUAGCCCGGCUGUUAAUUGGGGUAGACAGGGAGGGGCUAUCGUGCCGGCUCGACAUCAUUAUAAUUGGUUUUGGUGCUUUCUGGCUGCUAAUUAGCACUGGUUUUAAUUAGCGCAGGCAGGGAGGAGCCAUUGCGCCACCCUGGCACCACCAUAAUCAGUUCUGGUGCCUUCCAGCUGUUAAUUAGCCCGGCUGUUAAUUGGCGUAGUCAGGGAGGAGCUAUCGCGCCAGCCUGGCAUCAUUAUAAUCGGUUCUGGUGCUUUCUGGCUGUUAAUUAGCCCAGCUGUUAAUUGGGAUAGUUAGGGAGGAGCUAUCGUGCCAGCCUGGCAUCAUUAUAAUCAUAUCUGGUGCCUUCUGGCUGCUAAUUAGCCCGGCUGUUAAUUGGGAGAGUCAGGGAGGGGCUAUCGUGCCAGCUCGACAUCAUUAUAAUCGGUUCUGGUGCUUUCUGGCUGCUAAUUAGUGCUGGUUUUAAUUAGCAUAGCUAGGGAGGAGCCAUCGCGCCAGCCUGGCACCACCAUAAUUAGUUCUGGUGCCUUCUGGCUGUUAAUUAGCGCUGGUUUUAAUUAAUGGAGGUAGUAACAAGACCUAGUGCCAGCCUGGCAUCACUAUAAUCAUAUCUGGUGCCUUCUGGCUGUUAAUUAGCCCGGCUGUUAAUUAGCCCGGCUGUUAAUUGGUGUAGUUAGGGAGGAGCUAUCGUGCCAGCCCGGCAUCACUAUAAUCAGUUCUGGUGCCUUUUGGUUGUUAAUUAGCACUGGUUUUAAUUAGCACAGCCAGGGAGGAGCCAUCACGCCACCCUGGCAUCACUGUAAUCAGUUCUGGUGCCUUUCGGUUGCUAAUUAGUGCUGGUUUUAAUUAAUGCAGCAACUAAUGAGACCUAUUGCCAGCCUGGCACCACCAUAAUCGGUUCUGGUGCCUUCCGGCUGUUAAUUAUCCCGGCUGUUAAUUAGCACAGGUGGUGGGAUGAGCCAUCGAGCCACCCUGGCAUCACCAAAUUUAGUGCUUCUGGCUGUUAAUUAGCCCAGCUGUUAAUUAGGAUAGUUAGAGAGGAGCUAUCGUGCUAGCUCGGCAUCACCAUAAUCAGUUCUGGUGGCUUUCGGUUGCUAAUUAGCACUGGUUUUAAUUAAUGCAGCCACUAAUGAGAGCUAGUGCCAGCCUGGCACCACCAUAAUCAGUUCUGGUGCCUUCUGGCUGCUAAUUAGCCCGGCUGUUAAUUAGUGCAGCCAGUAACGAGCCAUCGUGUCAGCUCUGCUGCCUUCGGGGUGAGCUGUUAAUUAGUCCUGCUCUUAAUUAGCGCAGCCAGUGA